GAUGAACGCUGGCGGCGUGCCUAAUACAUGCGAGUCGAGCGAACAGACGAGGAGCUUGCUCCUCUGACGUUAGCGGCGGACGGGUGAGUAACACGUGGAUAACCUACCUAUAAGACUGGGAUAACUUCGGGAAACCGGAGCUAAUACCGGAUAAUAUAUUGAACCGCAUGGUUCAAUAGUGAAAGACGGUUUUGCUGUCACUUAUAGAUAGAUCCGCGCCGCAUUAGCUAGUUGGUAAGGUAACGGCUUACCAAGGCAACGAUGCGUAGCCGACCUGAGAGGGUGAUCGGCCACACUGGAACUGAGACACGGUCCAGACUCCUACGGGAGGCAGCAGUAGGGAAUCUUCCGCAAUGCGCGAAAGCUUGACGGAGCAACGCCGCGUGAGUGAUGAAGGUCUUCGGAUCGUAAAACUCUGUUAUUAGGGAAGAACAAAUGUGUAAGUAACUAUGCACGUCUUGACGGUACCUAAUCAGAAAGCCACGGCUAACCACGUG
rnacentral:rRNA from 1 species